GAGAGCCGUAUGAUGGGCUACUAUCUAGUACGGUUCGGAGAGCACUGUAGUAAAUCAUUUGGGAUUUUUCUCAAC
rnacentral:ncRNA from 1 species